GGGACGUCAGAACGGGACGUCAGCACGCUUGCCGGAUCGUAGAAACUCGUGUGCGCGCACAAGGAGGGUUCGGCCAUUUGUGCUGGGAGAGUGGCAGCGUGCGGAGAUAUAUCUAGAAUGUUAUACAGUCUACUUGCAUAAUGCAUUUAUUUUUUGGAAGAAAGUUGUUUGAACACCACAAGCCUCCAUGAUGGAUCUGAAUGCAAUCCCGUUUUUAGAAGCAGGUGGCUAUAUGUAAUCUGCAUGCCAGAAGGGGAAGACUCCAGUAGUUAAAUGGGUGGCUAUAUGUAAUCUGCAUGCCAGAAGGGGAAGACUCCAGUAGUUAAACUGCCUGUUCUGUGCAUCGCUGUUAGAACUACACCUCUUGGAUUGCAGCUUUCCAGUGGAGUUGUCCUCGGCCUGGCUUUUGACAAACUGUGUCCGUAUCUUGGGAUGGCCUGAAAGUGACCUUUGAAUACUGGGUUCUACAUAAGAUGCUUUCCAGACACCAUUCUGUGAAGCACUUUACUGAUCCAUACUGAUCCAAAGCUGUUGGCAUUGCCUCAGUACUUGCUCUGUCGCUAAAGAUUCGGAUCAGUUGAAAUGGACAUUUCUAGAUGACCAGAUAUAUCUAGAAUGUUAUACAGUCUACUUGCAUAAUGCAUUUAUUUUUUGGAAGGAAGUUGCUCGAAAGACGCAAGCCUCCAUGAUGGAUCUGAAUGUAAUCUGCUCGUUGGUAGAAGCAGGAUAAGCAGGUGGCUAUAUGUAAUCUGCAUGCCAGAAGGGGAAGACUCCAGUAGUUAAACUGGACCGUUCUCUACAUCGCUGUUGGAACUACACCUCUUGGAUUGUGCAGCUUUCCAGUGGAGUUGUUUUCAGCCUGGCUUUUGACAAACGGUCUGUAUCUUGUGGGGAUGGCCUGAAAGCGACUUUUGAAUACUGGGUUCUACAUAAGAUGUUUUCCAGACACCAUUCUGUGAAGCACUUUACAGAUCCAAAGCUGUUGGCAUUACCUCAGCAUUUGCUCUCUAAAGAUUCGAUGGAUAUGUUAUCGACUUUUAAAGAAUCCAGCCAAUAUGAUGGUAUAAAUUGACAAGCAUAUUUGCACACAUUGAAUAUGUUUUUUUAAUAAAUGAUAUAUAAGCUGUUAA